rnacentral:snRNA from 1 species
ACGGGUGAGUAAACCCGUAAGGCGCAAGGA